AGUGAACGCUGGCGGCAUGCCUAACACAUGCAAGUCGAACGGCAGCACAGUAAGCUUUUUCUUUUACGGGUGGCGAGUGGCGGACGGGUGAGGAAUACAUCGGAAUCUACUUUUUCGUGGGGGAUAACGUAGGGAAACUUACGCUAAUACCGCAUAUGACCUACGGGUUAAAUCAGGGGUUCUUCGGACCUUUCGUGUUUGAUUGAGCUGAUGUCGGAUUAGCUAGUUGGCGGGGUAAGGGCCCACCAAGGCGACGAUCCGUAGCUGGUCUGAGAGGAUGAUCAGCCACACUGGAACUGAGACACGGUCCAGACUCCUACGGGAGGCAGCAGUGGGGAAUAUUGGACAAUGGGCGCAAGCCUGAUCCAGCCAUACCGCGUGGGUGAAGAAGGCCUUCGGGUUGUAAAGCCCUUUUGUUGGGAAAGAAAAGCAGCAGGUUAAUACCCCGCUGUUCUGACGGUACCCAAAGAAUAAGCACCGGCUAACUACGUG
rnacentral:rRNA from 1 species